rnacentral:tRNA from 1 species
GGUGUAUAACUUAGUGGUAAAAUAUGAGCUUUGAAUGUUUAGGGCCCUGGGUUCAAACCCCAGCACACACA